UACAGAGGGUGCAAGCGUUGUUCGGAAUUAUUGGGCGUAAAGGGGGCGUAGGCGGGGCGGUAAGUCUGUAGUGAAAUCUCUGGGCUCAACUCAGAGUCUGCUAUAGAAACUGCCGUGCUUGAGUGUGGGAGAGGUGAGUGGAAUUCCCGGUGUAGCGGUGAAAUGCGUAGAUAUCAUGAGGAACACCAGAGGCGAAGGCGGUUACCUGGACAGUUACUGACGCUCAGGCACGAAAGCGUGGGGAGCAAACAGG
rnacentral:rRNA from 1 species